CUCUCUCUCAAACAUUUCUUUUCUCUCAUAAACUCUAUAAAACAACGAUUUGUGAAUUCAAUCGAGGUAAAUUUGGGAAGAUUAAGAGGAAGAACUUUCUAAUCAAGAGGUAUGAGUCAAACUGCUCGAGGAACUACCGAUACCCAAUGGUCACACUCGUCCGCCCAACGUGCAAAGGCAAAGGGGAAGGCAAUAGCAUCAGUUGCAUCGUUGGAAAGAAUCGAGUCGGGCGACGAGACACCUUCACAAUCACAUUCUCUUUCUCGUUCGGUCCAGAUACAUGACAGCAACACGGACAGCAGUGCCUCAACAGAUGAUGGCGGUGAUACCGGGCAGUCGUUGGUCUCGUAUGCACAACUUGAGGGUGGUGAAUGGACUGAGGAGCAAUAUUUUACACAUGCCACUCAAGAUUCAGAUCAUGGAACUCGACAAGGUACUGGUUAAGUUUAUGCGCGGAAGGGAAAGGAGAAGGGGAAGGGGAAGGCAGUGGAUGAAUAUGAACAAAUGCGACAGAGCAUACAUGAUAUAGACACAGAAAGAGACUCAUCGUAUUCACAGCCAUCGUAUUAUGAAGAAUCAUAUGGGCAACAACAGUAUGGUGAUAGUUGGUCAUCCUUCUCUGAGCAACAGCAUGAUACAGAACAACACCAAUAUAUGCCUCAAGAGCUGCCUCGGACAAAUAUGAUUUAUGACGAUCAAUCUACGAUCAGUAUCACAUUGAUGCAUCAAUGACAUACGGUGUAUCAAUACACUAUGUCAUGGGAUCAAUUUCAUGAUUGGGUCCAACAAAAGUAUCAUAUUGAUAUGUAUCGGAUUGAGGACCCCGAUCCACCACCCGUAGAGGCCCGUCGUUCGUUUUGGUGGUAGAAUUAACAAUCAGGUAUAUCUAGAUAUAUGAUUAUUUAAUUCAUUUGAAUUUUAGAGUUUAUAUUGUAACAAAAUAGUCUAACAAUUCAACUGAUUUUUCUAUAGAUAUUUCAAUCUAUAACGAGCUGAAAUACGAACCUCGAACAAGACUACCUCAAAGCCCGAAAAAGAUAUGUGAUGCUAUUUUUACCAAAUUUACAUUGAUUUUGCUAAACUUAUACUAUUACUAUAUUUAUUUGUAACUUGAAAACUCUAUCCUAACUUUUUUUUUAAUUUUCAGGUAUUUUCGGAGGGAUAAAUCGGUGAAAUCAGGUGUACCGAGCGGUACACCUCGGUAUACCGCUCGGUACGCCGUACCGUACCGUACCGAGCCAGCGUCGAAACGCCGGUACGGUACGGUUCGGCGAACCUUGGUUUAAAGUGAUUUCAAUUUGCUUCUCUUGUGUUUCUUUUUUGUAAGGUACUAUCUUUGUUUCAUUUUUGUUUGAGAAUUUUUGUGCAGACUAUAUAUUUUGUUGUGUAUGCUAAUCAUGCAUAAUUAGAUCAAACCGAUAGAUGCUUAUUAUUUUUUUUCUUUUUUGAGCUGAGAUUUCUUAUGAUAUUCAAUAUGGCCUUGGUAUCACAUGAAGACAUCACAUUGCACACCUAGAAGAGUGUUUGACAAUCGAGAUAUCUAUGCAUUAUAAGAGCACCUCUACCUUUGUGCCCCUUGCCACCGUCAUAUAUAUCUUGUAAACUAUCAUUGGCUUUAUGGACAAGGCUAAUGCGGUGGAGAUUGAUGAUCCUCUGAAAGCUCCAGAGCUUGAUCGAGACAAACAAGAAGCUGCACUGAAGCUCAUGGCCAACGGUGCAUGCACCCUUUGCAACACUGGGAAGGGACAAAGAGACUUAGAGCAUUGAUGUUUCAUUUACUAGAAUUUGAGAAUCAGGUUCAAGUAUCCUUUCUUUGUUGAAUAUUUUGGCUACUCCUUUACUAGAAGUAUCUAUGGUGGUUUCUCAAAUUUUAUCAUUGAAAAGUCUAGUGCUCUAAUUAAUUCUCUUUCUUGUCUAACUUCUUGCCUGCCCCUUAACAUUCUGUAAUCUUUUUAUCAAAUUAGUUAUAAUUACUAACAAAGAAUUGUGACUUCUAUUAGUCUUUCUGUUAUUUAAGAAAGAAAAAAAGAGAUCUUAUCAAAUUCUGGAUUGCAUUCUAGAUAUUGCUCUUCUAUUACAGAUCGUUCAUCAAUAAUAUUUUUAGACAUGUUUCGAUUCCUUUAGACUUUGUUUUUUCUCCUUUAGUUAUAUCAUUCAUCAAUAAUAACAUUCCAUAAUCUUUCGAACAAAUUAGGUGUCGUUACUCAUUACUAACAAAGAAUUGUGACUUCUAUUAGUCUCUCUGUUUUGUAAGAAAGCAAAAAAAAGACCUAUCAAAUUCUGGAAUUGCAUUUUAGAUACUGCUCUUUAUUAUAGAUCAUUCAUUGAUAGUAUUUUUAGACACAUUUUAAUUUCUUUAGACUUUGUUUUUUCUCCUUUAUUUGUGUGUUUUCCACUUUGCACUAUUCUGGCUAUAUAUUCUGUAGCUAAUAUUUAACUAAUCAUUUCAUCAUUUUAAAACUGACAAUUUAUCAUAUUAAGAAUAUAGGUUUUCUUACCUUGUUGGAUUUGCAUGUAAAGGUACUGAACAUAAUACCUUCGCUGUUGAUGAGUCACUUAAAGACUUCGCACAAUUAGCUAUUGGACUUUCAGUUGUUGGCUCUACUUUUCAAAAUUAUGUUUUUUUCCUCACAUUUGAACAUGAGGCAGCAAAUAGUUUCCUCAUUGCUCUAAGUAUGCAUUUCUAGAUGUCUAGAAUCUAGGAGUAUAUUAUUGCUUUGGCUGUCAUAAAUAUAGAAAUUCAAAAAAUAGAUCUUUCUGAGAUAUUUUUUUUCUGUUGUUAUGUAGUCCAUUCUCUAAUCUUAUAUAGGAAAUAUUUUAUUGAUGUCAGUCAUCUAGUUUUAUGUGACAUGCCAUAUUUAGUAAUUUGUGCAUCUCUGUGUAUUUGCCUCGUUCAAGAUUCAGAGUGUUCAUUGUACCAACAACAACAAGAAGCGAAGACAUUAUGGGUAUCUACUAUCAUUUUCUAAAAUGUUGUAUGAUUGGUUAUAACCAUUUCUGACCUAGUUCCCAGCUCAGAGCAACAUUAACAUAACCAAAGAAACUGAUAGCACCAACACUUGAGAGUAAAUAAAUCUAAA